rnacentral:rRNA from 1 species
UACGGAGGGUGCAAGCGUUAUCCGGAUUCACUGGGUUUAAAGGGUGCGUAGGCGGGCUUAUAAGUCAGUGGUGAAAGCCCGGAGCUUAACUUCGGAACUGCCAUUGAUACUGUAAAUCUUAAGUACACUUGAGGUGGGCGAAAUACAUCAUGUAGUAAUAAAAUACUUAGAUAUGAUGUAGAACACCGAUUGCGAAGGCAGCUCACUAAAUUGUAACUGACGCUGAGGCACGAAAGCGUGGGGAUCAAACAGG